rnacentral:rRNA from 1 species
CCAGCAGCCGCGGUAAUACGUAGGUGGCAAGCGUUAUCCGGUAAUUAUUGGGCGUAAAGCGCGCGCAGGCGGUCUCUUAAGUCUGAUGUGAAAGCCCACGGCUCAACCGUGGAGGGUCAUUGGAAACUGGGAGACUUGAGUGCAGGAGAGAAAAGUGGAAUUCCACGUGUAGCGGUGAAAUGCGUAGAGAUGUGGAGGAACACCAGUGGCGAAGGCGGCUUUUUGGCCUGUAACUGACGCUGAGGCGCGAAAGCGUGGGGAGCAAACAGGAUUAGAUACCCUGGUAGUCCACGCCGUAAACGAUGAGUGCUAGGUGUUGGGGGGUUCCACCCUCAGUGCUGAAGUUAACACAUUAAGCACUCCGCCUGGGGAGUACGACCGCAAGGUUGAAACUCAAAGGAAUUGACGGGGGCCCGCACAAGCAGUGGAGCAUGUGGUUUAAUUCGAAGCAACGCGAAGAACCUUACCAGGUCUUGACAUCCUCUGACCACUCUAGAGAUAGAGCUUUCCCCUUCGGGGGACAGAGUGACAGGUGGUGCAUGGUUGUCGUCAGCUCGUGUCGUGAGAUGUUGGGUUAAGUCCCGCAACGAGCGCAACCCUUGACCUUAGUUGCCAGCAUUCAGUUGGGCACUCUAAGGUGACUGCCGGUGACAAACCGGAGGAAGGUGGGGAUGACGUCAAAUCAUCAUGCCCCUUAUGACCUGGGCUACACACGUGCUACAAUGGGUGGUACAAAGGGUUGCGAAGCCGCGAGGCCAAGCCAAUCCCAAAAAGCCACUCUCAGUUCGGAUUGUAGGCUGCAACUCGCCUACAUGAAGCCGGAAUUGCUAGUAAUCGCGGAUCAGCAUGCCGCGGUGAAUACGUUCCCGGGCCUUGUACACACCGCCCGUCACACCACGAGAGUUUGUAACACCCGAAGUCGGUGGGGUAACCCUUUUGGGAGCCAGCCGCCGAAGUGGGACAGAUGAUUGGGGUGAAGUCGUACAAGGUAC